rnacentral:rRNA from 1 species
UACGGAGGGGGCUAGCGUUGUUCGGAAUUACUGGGCGUAAAGCGCGCGUAGGCGGACCUGCAAGUCGGGGGGUGAAAGCCCGAGGCUCAACCUCGGAACUGCCUUCGAUACUGCGGGUCUCGAGUCCGGGAGAGGUGAGUGGAAUUCCUAGUGUAGAGGUGAAAUUCGUAGAUAUUAGGAAGAACACCAGUGGCGAAGGCGGCUCACUGGCCCCGGUACUGACGCUGAGGCGCGAAAGCCAGGGGAGCGGAACGGG